GACAGAGGGGGCAAGCGUUGCUCGGAAUUACUGGGCGUAAAGGGCUCGUAGGCGGCCAACUAAGUCAGACGUGAAAUCCCUCGGCUUAACCGGGGAACUGCGUCUGAUACUGGAUGGCUUGAGGUUGGGAGAGGGAUGCGGAAUUCCAGGUGUAGCGGUGAAAUGCGUAGAUAUCUGGAGGAACACCGGUGGCGAAGGCGGCAUCCUGGACCAAUUCUGACGCUGAGGAGCGAAAGCCAGGGGAGCA
rnacentral:rRNA from 1 species